ACCUGUUUGAUCAUGACAGUUUUAUAUGCUUCUCUAAAAGAUUAAGCCAUGCAAAUGUAAGAAAGUACUACUUGAAUUAGUAAAUCGGUGAAAGGCUCCGUAAAUCAGUUAUUGUUUAUUUGAAUGUGGAAACUAGAAACAGUUUCAAAUAUUUAGGUGGAUAAUUGUGGGAAAACUAGAAAUAAUACAUGCGAAAAGAGGAGACUGUGGCAACACGGAAUCCUUGCAUUAACUAGUUGUUUUCAAGAGGUGUACAUUACACUUUUGAUGAUGAACUACAGUUUACUAAAUAGCAGAUUGAUAAUCUUUUUUAUCAACGCUUCAUUCAAAUUUCUGCUUUAUCAAUUAACGUUGGUACGGUAUUGGCGUACCAUGGUUAUAACGAGUAAGGAAUUCUAUGGGAAUGAUUCCUGAGAUUUCGCCUGAGAAAUAGCGAAAAUAUCUAAGGAUAGCAGCAGGCGCGAAAAUUACCCAAUGCAAAAACUGCGAGGUAGUGACAAGAAAUAACGACAGGAUUAUUUCAGUUAUAAAAAUAACUGAAAACCUGAUUGCAAUGAGUACAAUUUAAAAAUAUUAAUUAGAAUCAAUUUGAGGGCAAGUUCUGGUGCCAGCAGCCGCGGUAAUUCCAGCUCAAAUAGUGUAUAUUAAAAUUGUUGUAAUUAAAAAGUUUGUAGUUUGAAGUUAUCACAAUUCAUGGUGUUGGUCUUUUUUCUCUAAUGAUUAAUAGGGACAAUUGGGGCAAUUAGUAUUUCUACUCGAGCGGUGAAAUGCAUAGACAGUAGAAAGACUAACUAAUGCGAAAGCAUCUUGCAAGGGUGUUUUCAUUAAUCAAGAACGAAAGUUUGGGGAUCGAAGAUGAUCAGAUACCGUUGUAGUCCAAUUUUUUCUUUACAGUAAAAAAUGACAACAAAAGAUAGGGAAGAAUUGUAGAAUUACAAUUCUAAAUUGUUAAAAAUUUAAAGGUACUAAGAAAUGAGGAGUAGGGUUUUUUUACUCUACUUUCUCAUAAUAGUUGUCUUUCCCUGAAUUUUGUAAGAAAUUAAGAGUCUUUAGUCUUUGGGGGUAGUAUGCAUCGCAAGAUUGAAACUUAAAUGAAUUGACGGAAGAGCACCACCAGGUGUGGAAUAUGCGGUUUAAUUUGACUCAACACGGGGAAACUCACCAGGACAGGACAUAAUAAGGAUUGACAGAUUGAAAGCUCUUUCAUGAUUGUAUGGAAAGUGGUGCAUGGCCGAAGUUAGUUCGUGGUUUGAAUUGUCUGCUUAAUUGCGUUAACGAACGAGACCUUUUGAAAUAAAUAGCGGUCAUUAGUUCUUGCAAAAGAAUGGGGUCACCUAUAGAAGUAAUAAUUGGGUCAAACUAAUUAUCUUCUAUAUGUCGUUGAUCCUAUUUAUAGGACUAAUCUUGACCAUUCAUGAACAGAGGCGUCAAAAACCUCCUUCAUGAAUCUAAUCAAAAUAUGGCUUCUUAUUUCGACUAUUGAUGUCCAAUCAAUGUAAGUUAAAGUCAAUUUCAGGUCUGUGAUGCCCUUAGAUGCCCUGGGCGACACGCGUAUUACUAUAACAUAGAUAAAGGGUUUAUUAAAUUGUUGGGAAAGAGAAGGAGGAGUCAAAUCUUUCUUCUUUUUUCUGACAUUUAAAUUGCUUUCUAGAAAUGGAUGGCUAAUCCUUUAGGAAUCUAUUUUGUUUUACUUGGGAUAGAUGCUUGUAAUUUUUCAUCUUCAACUUGGAAUACCUAGUAAUCGUAGUUCAACAAACUACGAUGAUUACGUCCCUGCUCUUUGUACACACCGCCCGUCGCUUCUACCGAUUGAAUUGUCCGAUGAGCUGUAAGGAGAAUGAGGAUUGGGAUUUAUCUCAGUUUUUGUUCAAAUUACAUCAAAUCUUACAAUUUAGAGGAAGAAGAAGUCGUAACAAGGUAACCGUAGGUG
rnacentral:rRNA from 1 species